GAUGAACGCUGGCGGCGUGCCUAAUACAUGCAAGUCGAGCGAACAGACGAGGAGCUUGCUCCUCUGACGUUAGCGGCGGACGGGUGAGUAACACGUGGAUAACCUACCUAUAAGACUGGGAUAACUUCGGGAAACCGGAGCUAAUACCGGAUAAUAUAUUGAACCGCAUGGUUCAAUAGUGAAAGACGGUUUUGCUGUCACUUAUAGAUGGAUCCGCGCCGCAUUAGCUAGUUGGUAAGGUAACGGCUUACCAAGGCGACGAUGCGUAGCCGACCUGAGAGCGUGAUCGGCCACACUGGAACUGAGACACGGUCCAGACUCCUACGAGAGGCAGCAGUAGGGAAUCUUCCGCAAUGGGCGAAAGCCUGACGGAGCAACGCCGCGUGAGUGAUGAAGGUCUUCGGAUCGUAAAACUCUGUUAUUAGGGAAGAACAAAUGUGUAAGUAACUAUGCACGUCUUGACGGUACCUAAUCAGAAAGCCACGGCUAACUACGUG
rnacentral:rRNA from 1 species